rnacentral:rRNA from 1 species
CGGGACGGAUGAGUAACGCGUGGAAAACCUGCCGUAUACUGGGGGAGUAACACUUAGAAAUAGGUGCUAAUACCGCAUAAGCGCACAGCUUCGCAUGAAGCGGUGUGAAAAACUCUGGUGGUAUACGAUGGUUCCGCGUCUGAUUAGCUAGUUGGUGGGGUAAUGGCCUACCAAGGCAACGAUCAGUAGCCGGCCUGAGAGGGUGAACGGCCACAUUGGGACUGAGACACGGCCCAAACUCCUACGGGAGGCAGCAG